GACGAACGCUGGCGGCGUGCUUAACACAUGCAAGUCGAACGGUGAAGGUGGGAGCUUGCUCCUACCGGAUCAGUGGCGAACGGGUGAGUAACACGUGAGUAACCUGCCCCAGACUCUGGA
rnacentral:rRNA from 1 species